ACCAUAAAAGGGUUAAACAAAUCAAAAUAUAUUUUAUAUUUGAGAUUCUUCAAAUAGCCACCCUUUGCCAUGAUGACAGCUUUGCACACUCUUGGCAUUCUCUCAACCAGCUUCACCUGGAAUGCUUUUCCCACAGUCUUGAAGGAGUUCCCACAUAUGGUGAGCACUUGUUGGCUUCACUCUGCGGUGCGACUCAUCCCAAACCAUCUCAAUUGGGUUGAGGUCGGGUGAUUGUUGAGGCCAGGUCAUCUGAUGCAGCACUUCAUCACUCUCCUUCUUGGUCAAAUAGCCCUUACACAGCCUGGAGGUGUGUUGGGUCAUUGUCAAGUGGAAAAACAAAUGAUAGUCCCACUAAGCCAAAACCAGAUUGGAUGGUGUAUCGCUGUAGAAUGCUGUGGUAGCCAUGCUUGUUAAGUGUGCCUUAAAUUCAAAAUACAUCAGAGACAGUGUCACCAGCAAAGCACCAGAACACCAUAACACCUCCUCCUCCUCCAUGCUUUACGGUGGGAAAUACACAUGAGGAGAUAAUCCGUUCACCCACAUCGCAUCUCACAAUGACAUGGCAGUUGGAACCAAAAAUCUACAAUUUGGAAUCCAGACCAAAGGACCAAUUUCCACCAGUCUAAUGUCCAUUGCUCGUGUUUCUUGGCCGAAGCAAGUCUCUUCUUAUUAUUGGUGUCCUUUAGUAGUGGUUUCUUUGCAGCAAUUCGACCAUGAAAGCCUGAUUCACACAGUCUCCUCUGAACAGUUGAUGUUGAGAUGUGUCUGUUACUUGAACUCUGUGAAGAAUUUAUUUGGGCUGCAAUUUCUGAGACUGGUAACUAUAAUUAACUUAUCCUCUGCAGCAGAGGUAACUCUGGGUCUUCCUUUCCUGUUGCGGUGCUCAUGAGAGCCAGUUUCAUCAUAGCGCUUUAUAGUUUUUGUGACUGCACGUGAAGAAACUUUCAAAGUGCUUUAAAUGUUCCGAAUUGACUGACCUUCGUGUUUUAAAGUAAUGAUGUGCUGUUGUUUCUCUUUGCUUAUUUGAGCUGUUCUUACGAUAAUAUGGACUUUGUCUUUUACCAAAUAGGGCUAUCUUCUGUAUACCCCCCUACCUUGUCACAACACAACUGAUUGGCUCAAACGCAUUAAGAAGGAAAGAAAUUCCACAAAUUAACUUUUAAGAAGGGCACAUCUGUUAAUUGAAAUGCAUUCCAGGUGACUACCUCAUGAAGCUGGUUGAGAGAAUGCCAAGAGUGUUUAAAGCUAUUUGGAUGGCUAUUUGGAUG
ensembl:lncRNA